AUGUAAUACCUAAAACAAAAUAUAUACCAGUAACUGUUUCUCGUUAAGUGAGAAGGAAUCGGCUGCGCGCGAGCUCCACCAUUGUAGCGUGGCGCCUUCUUCUUCAAUUGCGCUCAGGUCUGUAAUUUUAGGCUUAGGGUUAGGGUUUCGCAUAAAAUAAUCCAGGCACAAAAUCUGCGAAGCUGGAGAGGCACGGAGACCACCUGGAGUCCCAGCGCGUCUCGCAGCCUGGGACUUUCUCUUCCUCUUCGCCUUGGCCCUCCGUCGAUGCCCACCACAACAACCAUCUUAUCCACCACAAUCACCACCAGGAUUCCAACCACUACGACCACCACCAUCAUGGCAACCAUUCUAAUGGCCCCUUCCAUCCGGUGCCUUUUUCUGUACGCAGAAGGGCUUGGUCUCAGCAUAAUCAAGGACUCUCUCCAGAUAACAUUGAAAGCGCCCUACAUGUUAAACUUUAUGUUGCACAGGUUUCCCGAAUAGCGACAGAGGAACUUAUUCGCCCCUUGUUUGAGCAAUUUGGAAGCGUUGUUGAGGUUGUGAUUUUGCGGGAUAAGAGGACUGGCCACCAACAAGGAACUUGUUUUGUGAAAUUUGCAACACAACAUGAAGCAGACAGGGCCAUUACAGCUUUAAAUAAUCAGCACUAUUUUCCUGGGGAAGCCUUCCCGAUGACAGUUAAAUAUGCCGAUGGGGAAUUGGAACGCCUUGAGACACUUGGUAAAGUGUAUGUCAAUGGCCUUAACAAGGAAGCUUCGUGGAAAGAAGUUGAGGAUAUAUUUUCACCAUAUGGUCUUGUUUUAGAUGUCUACAUUUUGCGUGAUGAACUGAGGCAGAGUCGAGGGUGUGGAUUUGUAAAGUUUUCCCAGAUAGAUAUGGCUCUGGCAGCAAUCAAAGCAUUAAAUGGAACCUUCAUUAUGAGAGGUUGUGCUCAGCCGCUUCUUGUUCGUUUUGCGGAUCCUAAGAAACCAAAGGGAAUAGAAUCAAGGGGAAAUUUUGGAUUUAGCAGCGGGAACAUUGGACCCCACUCUCAAGAACCAUUUAGGCUAGUAUCUGAUCAUGGUGAUCCCAUGGGAGGGCAUAAUUUUCAUAGUGCACCGUAUCCUGUUCAACAAACUUCAAACCCACCUAUUCCCCAAUUGGCAAACCCAGAACCCCAAGCUUCCAUUGUCAUGCCACCACCACAGUUGUGUAGGAUGCCUUUACAACAGACACAGAAUACACAGAGAUCUUCUCAGACUUCUCAAGUAGAAGCUAAUGAGACCCAGAAGCAGCAUCUGACACAGCCAUCUGGGCAAAUUAUUGGGCAGCAGCAGAGUUCUCAGACAGUUGCUAGCAAUUCUACCUCACCUGCAUUGGCUUCAAGUCAUGAAACUGCAGUUCCUCUAGAGUGUGACUGGAGUGAACAUACCUGCCCUGAUGGAUACAAGUAUUACUACAAUUGUGAAACUUGUGAAAGCAGAUGGGACAAGCCUGAGGAUUUUGCCUUGUUUGAGAAACAAUUACAGACACAGACACAGACACAGCUGCAAAAUUCAUCUCACCAUCUUCAAUCUACAUCGGUUCUUUCUAUACAACAAAGUGAUCAAGCACACGUAGAGAUUCAGACACAUGCCUUCCAUCAGACACUCCAACUUCAGAAACCUUCCUUGUCUUCAACGGAACUUGAUCAUUUGCAAAUCCAGCCACAAACAAGUCCUCUAGUUGGCCCAACCUGAGUUUGACAGGGUCUAUCCAGGGAUAUUGCUCUGAAAACUCGGGAUUCAGAGAGAAUGGUCAAUUUUCUGUUUCUAGAGAAGACAAUUGCAAGCCUGUCCGGUCUGAGGGAACCAUUAGUUAGCUGUUGGAAGAUUUGCAAGAUCCUGAAAUUUUGUGUUCACUCCCUCCGCCUUCAUUUCUUCAAUCGUAUUUAAUCGUUUCUCAGUUUAUAUUCAUAUUUAAGUUGCUUCUGUAGGCAAGGGGAAUUCAAGAAGCACUUAGUUGGUGAACAAUAGUGGUGUAAGCUUAGAACAGGGGGUCUUCUACUUAUUAGACACAUGUAUAAAAAUGUACCCACCCAAGCUUUAACUAUGGUGGGUUGUUAGUGUCGUGCAAUCAACGCGUUACUUGCCCCAA